ensembl:lncRNA
UGUGUGUGUGUGUGUGUGUGUGUGUGUGUGUGUGUGUGUGUGUCCUACUCCUGAACAGCUCUAUGGUUUCACAUCACUGUCAUUGUGAGCAUCGGACUGCUGAGUAUUCUCCUCAUCUCCCUGCGCUUCAACUCACCGUCACCCUGGAAAGAGGGGAGAGAGCACUUACUGGAUGAACUCGAUGAAUUGACACUUCAGGGCUGGAUGCUUCACGACAAGAGUCUCUACCGUGUUUCUACUACUAAGAAGGGCUGGAGGGCCAGUAGAGAAGACUGUCAGAAGAGAAAGGCAGACCUGGUGGUC